UACGUAGGGGGCGAGCGUUGCCCGGAUUCACUGGGCGUAAAGCGCGUGUAGGCGGUCUGUUAAGUCGGGAUGUGAAAUCUCCGGGCUCAACCCGGAAACUGCAUCUGAUACUGGCAGACUUGAGGAUGGUAGAGGUCGGUGGAAUACCAGGUGUACCGGUGAAAUGGGCAGAUAUCGGGAGGAACACCUAUGGCGAAGGCAGCUCGCUGGGACGUUACUGACGCUGGAGACGCGAAAGCGUGGGGAGCAAACAGG
rnacentral:rRNA from 1 species